rnacentral:tRNA from 1 species
UGUUCUGUAGCUUAGCUGGUUAAAGCCCCGGACUAGCGAUAACGGAGUCGUGGGUUCAAGUCCCACCAAAACAA